ACUAGGCGCAUGCGUAUGAAGACUAUGAACGCGUUUCAGGCCCAUAGGGAGGGCAUGUGCAGUACUGUCCUUACUAGCAGAACAGGCGGGAACGAAGAAGGGAGCGACUCGGACGACGGGACGCAGGGCGGGACUAGAGGGCGUUUGGGCCUUCUCCCCCUGUGGAGGAGGAGAACGGGCAGCCAGGCAGGGCGAGGCCGCGGCCGCCGCAGACUCUGGCUACCUUACCUUUGCCAAGGGCAGGCGCAAUGAUUCCCUCCAUGGCUCUUGGGCAAUAUGAUGUGAAACACACUUUGGAUUCCAACAGUGUGGCCCAAUCAGGUUGGAGUUAAGUAAUCCUUAGGAUAGCACCAGUUUGGAAAAGUCCUGCAAAAACUAGCAGUUUUAAAAAACAUUCACUGUUGCUAACCUCAUGGACUGAAAGUUUGUGAUACCCCAAAAUAUAAAAAAUUAAGAAGUGGGACCACUUUUGAACUAACAUCUUCUAGCAACAUACAGAACGUGGGGUCUCGAAUUCUCUAAAAAUAACUGGUUGCAAAGACCUAGCAACAACACCAGACAUUCAACAUUCAUCCAUCAGCAAAGUUAAAAAUUAAAUUUGCCACAGUAGAUGCUGGUCCUUGUCAGCCUCUGGCUCUGUUGAUUGACAUACAUUUAAUCUGGAGACACUGUCGUCGGCUUCCU